AUUGAACGCUGGCGGCAUGCCUUACACAUGCAAGUCGAACGGCAGCACGGGGCGAACCCUCGUGGCGAGUGGCGAACGGGUGAGUAAUACAUCGGAACGUGCCCCGUACGCGGGGACGAACCAGUCGAAGACUGGCUAAUACCGCAUACGCUCCACGGAGGAAAGACAGGGGAGUCGCAAGACCUUGCACUAUGGGAGCGGCCGAUGCCCGAUUAGCUAGUUGGUGAGGUAAAGGACUCACCAAGGCAACGAUCGGUAGCUGGUCUGAGAGGACGACCAGCCACACUGGGA
rnacentral:rRNA from 1 species